UGGAAGCAGAAUUCUUCAAUUCUUUAGGGUUCUUAUUGUGCUCUUAAUGAUCGAGCACUAAUGAGAUCUCAGCAUGAGAUCAUUUACGAAACAUCAGUCUGCUAGUAGCUAAACAUCUCAAAUCUGUCUCUCUUUCUGUGGUACAGUGUGAGUACAGAAAUCUGUCUCGGCCCGUGUUGGUUACGUAUCCUGCUGGGUUUCUGGCUCCUGCUGGGAAAACUGCUCAAAAGCCUUCUGAGACGUCUCCGGCACACAGCGAAACAGACGAGGGUCUUGUGUUCGUGGUCGUGUUCUCUGCGUUUGUGAUGGGUUUGUGUCUGAUGGGGGCGCUGUGGUGCAUCUACAGUCACACUGGAAGGCCUGACGUGAGCCAGAGAGGCGGUGUUAUAGAGGACAGUGGACUGAGGAACCCGCCGCCGGCGCUGAUGGAGCUGACCAGCGCUUUCCACGAGGCCAACUGAAGAUACGACCGUCGGAACCUGACAGAAACGAACAAACUAUCAUGUCUCUUGUGAUUUCUGCUUUCUUUAAAGCUCAAUUUGUGUACCACUGUUCUGAGGUGCUUGUAACUGAUUGUACUUGCUGCUUUUAUUGUGCUGCUAAAUGCUAAACCGAUCACAGAUUUGCGCUCCUCUAAUGUUCUUUAAUUUAUUUAAUUUCCACUCCUUUAAUUGUUUUUAAGUCGGUGUGUUGUAGUCCUAGACAAAUAUGUCUUCAGUAUUAAAUAAAUAAAGCCCGGAUACGCCGACAGUGAGGGUUGGGAAAGAUCUUUUAUCUGUCAUUUGUGCUUAAAACAAGAUGUAAUCUGGGGCCAGUUGUUCAAAAAGUUUAAUCUGGAUCAGAAUGAUCUGGAUUUGGAAAUCCUAUGUUUUGCUAUCCAGGAUCAGGUAACCAUUUUAUUUUUGUGCCGGUUUUUCAAAGCAAAAUUGGAUUGGAUCACCCUGAUCCAGAUACACACUUUUUCAGAUUUCCAAAUCUGGAGUACUAGUGCUCUACGGAGCCCCUAAAGGGACAUGGUGAUGGAAAAAACAUGCCAAUGCUUUGCAUUCUGGUUUUGCAUUGCAUUUACACAUAUAACUACUCCUGACUGGUCCAUCUCGUCUAUUUUUUGGACCAAUUUUAAAGUUUUGUUACAUUUUUGUUCCUGAAAUCCACCCUUCUGCUGGGAUCAGAAUAAUCCAGUUUUUUUGGAACAAAGGUUUCCCAAUCUUACUAAAACAUUUUGUACAACACAAACUGAGGAUUUAAUCCAGAUCAAAACCAAGAUUGGAUUUUGUGAUCUAAUCUGAAUUCAGAAUCCUAUUUUUUUUUUUAUUUUGAACAACCCAUUUUCAAGAUUUGAUCCAAUCCGAUGGCCAGAAUCCGAUCAGAUUACUUUUGAACAACUGGCCCC
rnacentral:lncRNA from 1 species